rnacentral:rRNA from 1 species
UACGAAGGGGGCUAGCGUUGCUCGGAAUCACUGGGCGUAAGGCGCACGUAGGCGGAUCUUUAAGUCAGGGGUGAAAUCCUGGAGCUCAACUCCAGAACUGCCUUUGAUACUGGGGAUCUCGAGUCCGGAAGAGGUGAGUGGAACUCCGAGUGUAGAGGUGAAAUUCGUAGAUAUUCGGAAGAACACCAGUGGCGAAGGCGGCUCACUGGUCCGGUACUGACGCUGAGGUGCGAAAGCGUGGGGAGCAAACGGG